rnacentral:lncRNA from 1 species
AUUCGAUCCCAUUGGAUAAGCUCCUGUCAACAGUGCAAUAAGAUACUGGUGCUACACCCCUCUCUUUUAUGAUGAACAAUCGAAGGCGAUACGGAAAGUGCCGGUGGGCAGAGGUAGCUGGAAUCUGCGCGUGACAAAGACCAUGGGCAGCGGGGGUGGAGAAAAGUGAUGCAAGCGAAAUUUGAGGUAUGACAAGAAUAAAGUUGGCACGCUCAAGUUCAAGAUGACACAAUAUUCGCUUGGAGGAGAAUAUGAUCAGGUGAGAACUAAGAAAAGCUCAGAAGAU